rnacentral:lncRNA from 1 species
AGAAAACCACCUUUGCGGAUCACAUAAUAAUUUCUACUGCAAAGGUUGAGAGGUGGGGAAUGUCAAAAAUGAAGAAAAGCAAAGGUAAGAUAGGAGGGAAAUAGGGGAAGAAAGGCUAAGGGAGGAAGGCAGAAGAGAGGAAGCAAAACAGCACGGAGGAAUCUGAAGGAGUCUGUGAUGAAGAGGCUGCAAUUACCAAGGCCACGUCGCUGGUCACAUAGGAGAGUGAUCAGCAUAUCUUGGGAGCACAGUAGACACAGGUUAAGGAGAUCCCCUGCCUGCAGUCUCCCAAUCAAAUCAUAGGAACACUGUGAGACUCUGGGGUGAGCUUGCAUUUGCAGACAGGAACUGAAGGGCUGGAGAGGUUACACUCACCCAGGUGCAGUUGCCCAGCAUGCGAAAGAGGAGACAUUCUAAACC